rnacentral:rRNA from 1 species
GAUGAACGCUGGCGGCGUGCCUAAUACAUGCAAGUCGAGCGAAUGGAUUAAGAGCUUGCUCUUAUGAAGUUAGCGGCGGACGGGUGAGUAACACGUGGGUAACCUGCCCAUAAGACUGGGAUAACUCCGGGAAACCGGGGCUAAUACCGGAUAACAUUUUGAACCGCAUGGUUCGAAAUUGAAAGGCGGCUUCGGCUGUCACUUACGGAUGGACCCGCGUCGCAUUAGCUAGUUGGUGAGGUAACGGCUCACCAAGGCAACGAUGCGUAGCCGACCUGAGAGGGGGAUCGGCCACACUGGGACUGAGACACGGCCCAGACUCCUACGGGAGGCAGGAGUAGGGAAUCUUCCGCAAUGGACGAAAGUCUGACGGAGCAACGCCGCGUGAGUGAUGAAGGCUUUCGGGUCGUAAAACUCUGUUGUUAGGGAAGAACAAGUGCUAGUUGAAUAAGCUGGCAUCUUGACGGUACCUAACCAGAAAGCCACGGCUAACUACGUGCCAGCCGCCGCGGUAA